rnacentral:rRNA from 1 species
CCUACGGGAGGCAGCAGUGGGGAAUAUUGCACAAUGGGGGAAACCCUGAUGCAGCGACGCCGCGUGAGUGAAGAAGUAAUUCGUUAUGUAAAGCUCUAUCAGCAGGGAAGAAAAUGACGGUACCUGUGUAAGAAGCCCCGGCUAACUACGUGCCAGCAGCCGCGGUAAUACGUAGGGGGCCAGCGUUAUCCGGAUUUACUGGGUGUAAAGGGAGCGUAGACGGCAGUGAAAGUCUGGAGUGAAAGGCGGGGGCUCAACCCCCGGACUGCUCUGGAAACUGUACGGCUGGAGUGCAGGAGAGGUAAGUGGAAUUCCUGGUGUAGCGGUGAAAUGCGUAGAUAUUAGGAGGAACACCAGUUGCGAAGGCGGCUUACUGGACUGUAACUGACGUUGAGGCUCGAAAGCGUGGGGAGCAAACAGGAUUAGAUACCCCGGUAGUC